CCCUAUGGGGUGCCCCAGGCUUUGUAGAUAUCUAUCUUCGGUGAUUUCUUCUGUUUCUGCAUGCAGCGUUACAGGGCUUUCAAGUAAUAGCACACAGGCCAUUUUUGUCAAGCCCCAACAGCAAAAAGGCAAGAAGGCCCUUUUCACCACCCGUCCCGCUCCGGCGGGACUUAAGGCACGGAGGACACAGAGAGAAGCGCGGGUGUCCGUGCCCGACCGAAGGUCGGCGACGGCAUCCUGAUGUGGGCAUCUCCCCCAUAUUAGGCAGGAACCAUAUUCUUGCUUUCAGGUAGGUAGGCGGACGCUCUGUGCUUAGAGCGACCGAAGGGAAUUGGCGGGAGGGC
rnacentral:rRNA from 1 species